UCCAAAUCAGCUGUUGUAUGCAAUGACAAAAAUCUGAAAAUUUGCAAAUCCAAUACCAAAAUCUGAAGAAUUCAUCUGUUUUUAGUUCUGAUUCACCUUCUCAUGAGGAGAAGAAGCAUCUUCUUCAUUUUAAUGUGAACAAGAGGGGCAGCUGGUGCUGGGGAGAUGGCUGGCAGUCAGCUGAUGAUGCUGGAAAUCAUAAUCUUGGAUAAGGACAAGGCAUCCGUACAAAUGGAAGCUCGGCAGUAUCAGAGGAAAUGGACUUUGUACAAGAAAUUCUUAUGCCAAGAGAAAAGGAGAAACUUUUUUUAGAAAGGGAAGUUGAAGCAUACAGGGUAAUGGUUUCAAGAAGGAAAAGAGAAACUUAGCUUCUGAUACGAGAAUAUCUCUACGAAUAUCCCAUAUAUCUACUAUUUAGUUUAGUAUUGAUUUAGCAUAUCUUUCCAUAUAUUCUUAGUAUCUUUAUUUCUUAUUCCCUAAGUCAGAGUAGUCUUAUAAAUUGGAGAUAUUCUUCUAUUUCAAUCAAGAAAUAUGAAAUUAUCUUUUUAGCUUU